rnacentral:rRNA from 1 species
CGCGUAGGCGGUGGGUUACGUCUGCCGUGAAAUCCCCGGGCUCAACCUGGGAAUGGCGGUGGAAACGGGCUGACUAGAGUAUGGGAGAGGGUGAUGGAAUUCCAGGUGUAGCGGUGAGAUGCGUAGAGAUCUGGAGGAACAUCAGUGGCGAAGGCGGUCACCUGGCCCAAUACUGACGCUGAGGCGCGAAAGCGUGGGGAGCAAACAG